GACGAACGCUGGCGGCGUGCCUAAUACAUGCAAGUAGAACGCUGAAGGAGGAGCUUGCUUCUCCGGAUGAGUUGCGAACGGGUGAGUAACGCGUAGGUAACCUGCCUGGUAGCGGGGGAUAACUAUUGGAAACGAUAGCUAAUACCGCAUAAGAGUAGAUGUCGCAUGACAUUUGCUUAAAAGGUGCAACUGCACCACUACCAGAUGGACCUGCGUUGUAUUAGCUAGUUGGUGAGGUAACGGCUCACCAAGGCAACGAUACAUAGCCGACCUGAGAGGGUGAUCGGCCACACUGGGACUGAGACACGGCCCAGACUCCUACGGGAGGCAGCAGUAGGGAAUCUUCGGCAAUGGACGGAAGUCUGACCGAGCAACGCCGCGUGAGUGAAGAAGGUUUUCGGAUCGUAAAGCUCUGUUGUAAGAGAAGAACGAGUGUGAGAGUGGAAAGUUCACACUGUGACGGUAUCUUACCAGAAAGGGACGGCUAACUACAUG
rnacentral:rRNA from 1 species